AUUGAACGCUGGCGGAAUGCUUUACACAUGCAAGUCGAACGGCAGCACGGGGCAACCUGGUGGCGAGUGGCGAACGGGUGAGUAAUACAUCGGAACGUGCCCAAUCGUGGGGGAUAACGUAGCGAAAGUUACGCUAAUACCGCAUACGAUCUACGGAUGAAAGCGGGGGAUCGCAAGACCUCGCGCGAAUGGAGCGGCCGAUGUCAGAUUAGGUAGUUGGUGGGGUAAAGGCUCACCAAGCCGACGAUCUGUAGCUGGUCUGAGAGGACGACCAGCCACACUGGGACUGAGACACGGCCCAGACUCCUACGGGAGGCAGCAGUGGGGAAUUUUGGACAAUGGGCGCAAGCCUGAUCCAGCCAUUCCGCGUGCAGGAUGAAGGCCUCGGUUGUAAG
rnacentral:rRNA from 1 species